UACGUAGGGGGCAAGCGUUGUCCGGAAUCAUUGGGCGUAAAGAGCGUGUAGGCGGUCCGGUAAGUCGGUUGUGAAAGUCCAGGGCUCAACCCUGGGAUGCCGACCGAUACUGUCGGACUAGAGUUCGGAAGAGGUGAGUGGAAUUCCUGGUGUAGCGGUGAAAUGCGCAGAUAUCAGGAGGAACACCAAUGGCGAAGGCAGCUCACUGGGACGGUAUUGACGCUGAGACGCGAAAGCGUGGGGAGCAAACAGG
rnacentral:rRNA from 1 species